rnacentral:rRNA from 1 species
GAUGAACGCUGGCGGCGUGCUUAACACAUGCAAGUUGAACGGAGCUAUCUGGAUAGAGGAUUCGUCCAAUUGAAAGAUAUGCUUAGUAGCGGACGGGUGAGUAACGCGUGAGUAACCUGCCUAGGAGUGGGGAAUAACAGUCCGAAAGGAUUGCUAAUACCGCAUGAUGCAAUUAGGUCGCAUGGCCUUGAUUGCCAAAGAUUUAUCGCUCUUAGAUGGACUCGCGUCUGAUUAGCUAGUUGGCGGGGUAACGGCCCACCAAGGCGACGAUCAGUAGCCGGACUGAGAGGUUGACCGGCCACAUUGGGACUGAGACACGGCCCAGACUCCUACGGGAGGCAGCAGUGGGGAAUAUUGGGCAAUGGGCGCAAGCCUGACCCAGCAACGCCGCGUGAA